rnacentral:rRNA from 1 species
CCAGACUCCUACGGGAGGCAGCAGUGAGGAAUAUUGGUCAAUGGGCGGGAGCCUGAACCAGCCAAGUCGCGUGAGGGACGACGGUCCUAUGGAUUGUAAACCUCUUUUGUCGGGGAACAAAGGCGUCCACGGGUGGGCGGAUGAGUGUACCCGAAGAAAAAGCAUCGGCUAACUCCGUGCCAGCAGCCGCGGUAAUACGGAGGAUGCGAGCGUUAUCCGGAUUUAUUGGGUUUAAAGGGUGCGCAGGCGGGAGAUCAAGUCAGCGGUAAAAUGUCGGGGCUCAACCCCGGCCGGCCGUUGAAACUGGUUUUCUAGAGUUGGAGAGAAGUAUGCGGAAUUCGUGGUGUAGCGGUGAAAUGCAUAGAUAUCACGAAGAACUCCGAUUGCGAAGGCAGCAUACCGGCUCCAUACUGACGCUGAGGCACGAAAGCGUGGGGAUCGAACAGGAUUAGAUACCCCAGUA